CAUCAGGCUGUGCGGUGAGGAUGUGACCGUCAGCGUCCAGCCGUCUACCUGGCCGUGUCGUGGCCCAAGGGACGUGACGUGUGAGCGAGAACCAAGCCGUUGCGGCUCUUUUUCUGAGUCUGAACUUCUUCGUGAUAAAGACAGCCGAGCGGGGGAAAUUAAAGAAGCAACUACGACGAAAUGGCUCCAGGGUAAACUAUUAAGCGCCAAAGGCAAUGGGCAAGAGACUGUGUGUGGAAUGAUCCCAUUUGCAUAAAUGGAAAACUAAGAAAUUUAUUUACAGUACAAGUUCCUAGAUGUGGACCUGCUGGGUCAGAGAGCAUUGUCCAGCUUUAAUUUUCAGAGAUAUUGCCAAAGUGCUCUGCAAAGAGAUCGCCCGAAACUGCCCUCUCCCAGCAGAAUACAAUUACUGUAUAAAUCGAGGGAAGACCGCACUUUGCUUUGCUUGGAACUUUAUCCGCUCCUUCACCAUUUUGGACGUCACGACGCUGAUGGCAAGGCGGCUCUUGAUAUUCGAGUGCCCAGUACAGCACAUCUCAAUCGCAUCUCGAUCGAUUGUUCAGCAUCUCAGCAGCCCCAUUCAUGGCAGUUCCACAACCUGAUCGCUCACUGGGUGACUUGGUUGCAUCUUCCGGUGUAAUCAUGCCUGAGUAUUUACACAUCGAGAGAAACACUACACAUUAGAAACUACUUUCACUUCUCAUUUACAUUAUAAUUGAGGAGUUAUAUUGAUCUAUUCUUUAAUUUGGAUUUCGUUGGUGGAGAGCCAAGGGGGUAUCAGAAAUGUUUAUUUAUAGGGGCCCCCGGGGUAGCUCAGCCGGUUAAGCGUCUGAUCGUGGUCUCACAGUUCUUGAGUUCGAGUCCUGCGUCAGGCUCUGUGCAACAGCUCAGAGCCUGGAGCCUGCUUUGGAUUCUGUGUCCCCCUCUCUCUCUGCCACUCCGCCACUCGCACUCUGUCUCUCAAAAAUAAACAAACAGUAAAGAAAAAUUAAAAAAAAUAAAUGUUUAUAAAUGACAUCGGAUAUGAUAGGGUCGUAGCAAUGGCUCUAAUCUUGGUAAUAUGCUUAAUUCUCUCUUUACCAACUUUAGCUAAUAUCUACUGGCUCUUUGAUGUGAAAGAUGAGAAUUUAUGUCACUUACAUUAUCCAUCCUCUCAAAGCUCUAAUUAAAAAAAAAUUUUUUUUUAACACUUAUUCAUUUUUGAGAGACAGAG